CCUCACAGCGAGCAGGGAGACAGACACCGCCAGCUAAGCUCCUCCAGGCUGUUGUUAAGAAUUAAGAAAAGUUAUUUUAAAUGUAAAAGUUGUAAUUGAAAUGCACUGAGGACAGCUAGUGUGCUCCACAGAAUGAACAGCUGCAGAAUAUCUGUGAUGAAAAAGGAGAACUUUCGGGAGAAACUCGGGACGCCAUUCCUCCCAAAUGAGCAACUGUCCGGCUGGUUAUGAAACAAAAAGAGGAGCUACAGACAGGAAGGGAAGUGAAAGUAUGAAGUCAGACUCCAUUUCACAGCUGGACGGAGCAGGAGAGCAACAGGACUGGAGAGAAUGAGUGAUUUAGAAGAUGAGGAAGAGGACGGGUCUCCUGUCUCCAGCUGUGUCCGGUCUAUGAGGAGACCUCCAGUCUUCAGUGAUGAACCAGGACCCUCAGACACAAAGUAAGAGUUUCUGCUGUAAACUGACCUGAAGAGGAUUCAGUGUUUAUGUUAUCGUAUCAUUUCAACUGUUCUUUAAUGUCAUGUGCACUCAAAGAAAUAACUCAUUGGAUUAACUCAAUUUUAUUGUUGGCAGG